GAUACCCCAUUCUCCAUGAUGUGAUUAUUAUGCAUUACAUGCAUAUAUCAAAACAUCCAUGUACCCUAUGCCUAUAUAUACCUAUUAUAUAUUCACAAAAUUAAAAAUAAAAAAAUUGAAAUAAGGAAGGAGGAACAAUUCUUAAUAGCAUGUGGUAUACAGAUGCUUUAUAAAAUAUAGUUUUGUUUUUGUUUUCUCGGGAGCUUAAAAUGUAUUUGCGAGGUCAAAGUAACAUCUUAUAGGCAACAAUAAUAAAGAGAAUGUAACUUAGUGCUGACUUGGCAUGACACAUUUUCAGUAUUGUGAGCAUUUAGGAAAAAAAGGGAUUAAGGGCCUGUUGAGGCCCUGUGCAGUGGCUCACGUCUGUAAUCCCAGCACUUGGGGAGGCUAAGCUGAGCGGAUCAUGAGGUCAGGAGAUCGAGAGCAUCCUGGCCAACAUGGCAAAAUGCUGUCUCUACUAAAAAUACAAAAAAUAGCUGGGUGUGGUGGCACACACCUGUAAUUGAAGUACUUUGGAAACUGAGGCAGGAGAAUCGCUUGAACCCAGGUGGCAGAGGUUGCAGUGAGCUGAGAUUGCACCACUGAACUCCAGCCUGGGCAACAGAGCAAGACUCUGUCUCGGCGGAGGUUGCAGUGAGCCCAGAUUGCAUCAUUGCACUCCAGCCUCGGUAACAAGAGCGAAACUCUGUCUCAAAAAAAAAAGAAAGAAAGAAAAAAAGAAAGAAAAAAGCAAAAGAGAACAUAAGUUGGCCUUUGAAGAGUGACAGGGUUUAGUUGGGUGCAGGCAAGCAUAGGGAAGUUUGACAUUGAUGUCAUCUUUUCGAAUUAAGAAGUAACAAUAUGUUACGAUUGUUAUGAGUAAAACUCUUGAUAACCAGUUAUGCCUUAUUCCCAUGUAUUUCUGUGUUUCUGUACUCUUCAUGGCAGUUUGCUGCUGCAUAUCUGUCAUCCACACUAAAUCUGAAGUAGGUCUGUGUCUGUUUAGAAUUGUAGCUGGCACAGGAUAGUGAGUUUAAUAACAGAUACAAAAUGUGGAACUGACAGGAUGUGUGGCCCUGCAAACAGGAUGGUGCUUAAUCCCUUGGAAAGUAAUGUAAUGCACUGCAAGAUUUCACAGAGACUUUAGGUGAUUUUGUUUCCCAGGAAAAUCUAACAUGAAUUAUGCAGCUGUACGCCCUUGGAAUGCACACCAAUAGACCAAAACAAAUUAUUUUUUUUCAAAGAGCAGAUUAAAUCUUGCCUCAUUUUCCCCACGAUAUUGCUGUCUGCUUUCUAGGAAGAAGAAGCAAAGCACAUUCUUUGUGUGUGUGUGUGUGUGUGUGUGUAUGUGUGAUGUAGCCUUUUCUAAGAGGUCUACAAAGAGACAUUGCAAAGCCAGGGCUGUCAUUGAUUCCUCUGAGAAACAUUCCCUAGCCCCUUCCCGCUCUGGUGAUCACAUAAGUAGAUAUUCUAGAAGCACAUACUCUACAGAUGGAGAAUUGUCACCAUCUGCCAGGACAGCCUCUGCUUGUCUUUCAUGACUCAGCUCAAAUAUCAUGACUUCAGGGGGCCUUCAGCUCUCUGGCCUUCCCUGCCCCCAUGAAGGCACUACCCAGUGCCCCCAGCUUUGCUCCUUCGGCUGCCUUUGAAGCACUUACUUCUUCUUGUUAGUUGUUGGUGGAAUUGUCUGUAGACUGUGACCUUGAGUGUGUGGAGUCUGGUAGAGUCAUCUCUGGAUUCCAUACUCUGAGAACCAUGCUUGACCAUUGCAGGCUCUCAACAAAGGCUUGCUGAGGGCUGAAUGAAUGAAUGGAUGGCAUGAAUGGAUGGGCUCUGGUGCAUUUUGUGCCCACAUUUUGCUUGCCAGCAGCUGCAUUGGGUCUACAAAAUAAACACUUUGACUCCAAGUAUCAGAGCUGCUCUCCUUCCAGUGAAGACUUGGGUGGAGUGAGAUGCAGGUUAUGGGGAUACGUGUGACCUCUACUCAUUCAGAAGGAUACAUAUCUUACAGGGCCAUAAAAAAUGAGAACCGAAUUCUGUGUGUUUGAAUAAACUCCUACCUUUUUACUCCACUACAGUCUCAGAAAAGUUCACUGCACAAAUAGAGGCAGUGGACACCUCUCACAGACAUGAUCCUUUCUCCUGUCUUUGAAGAAAAUACCAUGUGAAACCACGAGAUUCCAUUGGGUCCCUUCUCCAAAGAGACUGAACUCCGCCUUCAAUAUCAAAGGUGUGGCGCACUGGCAAUACCUUUGCAUGCAAAUGACUCCAUUGCCGCUGUUUUGCUGAUCUUGAGAAAUUCCAGUUUUGCUUUCCUGGGAAUGAAGUUUAGUAAAAUGGGAAAUGUGGAUGUGUAUAAAAAUUUCUGCUAUAUCCCUGAGACAAAUGAUGGAACAAAUUGUUCUCUGUGGGGUUCCAUCCAGGAAAAUGGAGGCAUGGCAUUGUUAGUAUUAUCAUCAUUAGCAGUAUGGCAACUUAGUCUGUCUUCAUACUGACAGCAAAAAAAGUAAUAUUUAUCUACUUGGCCAUCCAGAGAAGUGUUAUGGAUUUGCAAUUUUGCACUUUAGUGGGGUAAUAGAAGAGGUACAGAAAUUGAAGCUGUUUUAAGUUUUCAUGCAAGGGUAGAACACACAAGAUCUGUGAGUAGAUUGAAGCUUUGGUCAAGAAAUGGAGGUUGUAUGUUCGAUUUGAAGGUCUUGAGUUCUCCUUGGGAUAAUUGUGGACAGUCUUUUCUUGACUAGCAUGAAUCUAUCAGCCAGCUGGAUUUUAUGCUAUAGAAUUAGCCUUUCAAAAAGAACAAGGCAUUGUUAGCUUCAUCGCUAUAUGGCAGUGCAAUGAGAUGAUGUAUGAGGAUGUAUUUUGAAAACUGCCAAGUGCUAUACAUGGGAAGGAUGACAGUGAGGGUGAUGAUCACGAUGAUUUAUCAGCAGACAUUCUAACCCAGAGAUAUUUUCCCCCAAUCAGUUCUGUGGGGAAAUGAAGGUCUAUAACCUCAUAAAUCACAGCAAAUCAGUCCCCUGAGUCCCAGGGGAGACAGCAAAGGAGACACAGGUAUGAAAUUCCACGUGUAGCUGAGAUUCAGAAGCCCCAGGGUAUUGAAUGCUGAGAGGUUUGUAUCUCUGAGAAUUUCUCUGUAAGAAGUCAUCUCUGCAAGCAGUCACUCUUGCAUUGAGGGCACUGAGCUAAAAGAAGAGCUUGAUUUGCUAUUCAGAGAGUCUCACAUAUCACUUUGAUUGCGCAGACACUCCAUCCUGCUUUUAUACACCAUACCCACCUGCAGUCCCUAGACACACACCCUCACAUUAUACAUAUACCCCGUAUGCACACAUAGCUCCAUGCGCACACCUCUUAUCUGAUGUGCACACACCCACAUCUAUGACCCUGAACACACACCCCCUCUGUAUUUUACACACAAAGCCCACAUACCCUCGUACAUAUUCUCUCUCUAAUCUCACUCCAUCUCCACAGCCCCCACCCCUUAUUCAUAUAUCCCUCACAUCCUUCAUAAACAUACACCUUGCACAUCUGUACACAUCCCACAUACCCCACUCUUGUGUACAAUUACAUGUUCUCCCUCGUCCCGCAUACAUACCACUACAUGCAGACCCAUCAGUUAUACUCAGACAUUCAUAUACAUAGUCCUGCAUGCAUGAGGGUGGUCACGGUGUGUUUGGGGUAGAGAGAGGUACAAUUCUAGAGGGACAUGUUAAUCUGUCAUUCUCUUCCCCUCCUUCUGCUCUUCCUUUCUGGCUUCCUCCGUGACAACUGUUUGUAGCGCAGCUCUUUUCAGUUUUCAUAAACAUCCUUGGUUUUGCCUAAAACGUAAGUAUAUGGCCUGAAUUACUAUCUAUCUACCUUUUUAAAACUUAAUGAAUGCAUUUUUGUUUUAUUUCUAAAGAUUUAGAGAGUACAAGUACAGUUUUGCUACAUGGAUAUAUUGUAUUUUGGUGACAUUUGGGCUUUUAGUGUAACCAUCACCUGAAUAGGGUACAUGGUGCUCGUUAGAUAAUUUCUCAUCUGUCACCACCGGACACCCUCCCCGCUUUCUGUGUCUCCAGUGCCUAUUAUUCUACUCUCUAGGUCCAAGUGUACACAUUAUUUAGCUACCACUUAUAAGUAAGAACAUGUGGUAUUUGACUUUCUGUUUCUGAGCUAUUUCAUGUAAGAUAAUGACCUCCAGUUCUAUCAGUGUUGCUAUAAAAGAUACAAUUUCAUUUUUUUAUGGCUGAGUAGUAUUUCAGGGUAUGUAUGUGGGUAGAUAGAGAGAUAUCACAUUUUCUUUAUUCAGUUAUCUGCUGAUGAACACUUGGGUUGAUUCCAUAACUUUGCUAUUGUAAAUAGUGCUGCAGUAAACAUACAAGUACAGAUAUCUUUUUCACAUAGUGACUUUUUUUCCUUUGGGUAUAUACCCUGUAGUGGGAUUGCUGGAUCAGAUGGUAGAUCUGUUUGUUAUUUGAGAAAUUGUCAUUCUGUUUUCCACAGAGGUUCUACUAAUUUACAUUCCUAUUUUUUGAUGAACUUGGAUGAAGAAAGUUUCUUAAGAAAAACUCAUUUGGGGAUAAAGCUGCUCCCAUUACCAGAUCAUUGAACUAUUCUAGAGAAUUCAAAUCCAUUGAGAUGGGAUUAAUGCCUUUGUAUGCUCAGGCAGAGGACAGAACGACCAUCGCAAAUGGUCAUCAGCAUUUUCCUGCUUUUAGAUGGAAAAGCCAAGGCCACCCCACGCAUGCUGAAAUUAGUGGGCCAAGGUCAGAAAGGAGUUCACAACUGCAUGUGGAGCCAGGUACUCUUCAUUUUCCCUUAACUGAAAAACAACUAGUUCAAAGACAUUGACUUAAGUGGCACAAGGGACAUACAUUUUGCAGUUUCUCUUUAGCUUAGCAAGAUGAGAUGUUUAAAAACCUUGUGGCAUCUUCUCUGUCAUCUAGAAGAGUUCUUUGAUUUUUGCACAGCUGUGAAAUGUUUAGUUGCUUGCCUUCUUAUGCUAACCAGAUCUGGAGCUCUCUGAGACUACCAAAGGGCCUCCUGCUUCUUUGGUUUCUCCAGUCAAGAGCUUAACUCUGAAUUGAUGAUUGUGGAUGCCUGUGGAACCAUUGCAGAUUUCAUGUGAUGGGGUGAACUCGUACCUCUAGAAGACAGAAAAACCUUGGAAAUAAAGCCAUUGAUCUCAAACAGGAAAUUCUGAUGUAUUUUCCCAGAGGUUUAACAGGGAGGAGCACUUCCUCAGAAUCACUGCCUCACCAUUUCAUGCCCACAGUUAGACUCAUUGUGGACUGACCCAGCAUUGCCAGACACAUAAGCAUACCAGAGGUGGAGAGAGAGGAGAAAAUGUGAUCUGUUUAUAUGUGGCGCUCAGAAAGGCAAAUGGAGACCCUUCAGAUGCAUAGCAUUUUACUUGAUUUUUGUUUUUGUCUCAUUUCGUACUCAAUUCUAGUUUUCCAUUGAGCUAGAGACGCUAAUGGAUAUGACCUAAAAGUGGAGCAGAUCUGGAAACACAUGCCAUGUCAAUUGCAGUGGAGCGAAAGCUGCAUGCAAGGACCUAGGGCUGAGAUUCACCAAGAAUACGGUAUCACUGGGGUUCUUGUAAGAAUCAAAUCACAUUAGGGAGGUUGGAAGGAUGAGAAAACUCAUUGCAAACUGUGAGGAGAGGGACAACUCUUCAUUAUUUGUCAUCUGUCAAUAACCUUCCUUAAAAUAUGAAGAAGUUUUCUGCAAAUUUUAUAAACUAGGUCAUACUCUUAUAGAUCUGCAAUUAAUCCAAUACUUCUUUGAAGAUGGGAGAAAUAAAUUUGUCUUCACAGCAUAUUCAAGAAGAGGCCAAUAGUCCAGUAGAUGAUUAGAAAAUCAGAAAUUAAUUGGUCGAGCAUUUUUAUUCUCCUUAGGCAUUUGAGCCUAGGAAAGGGAGGCAAUGAGGGGUGCAAAGAGGCAAGGGAGAGACAGAGAAAGGUCUGAGGAAAGGACAAGGCUGUGAGCCAGAGGCUUCCUCUGUGCUAAGUCACUUACUUCUUGCUGUCACCCUGUGAGGAGUGUCACUCAGCUGUCCUCAAGUCCUGUGCCCUUUCAUAUGUGGGGCUAGGUGGCUCAUCUGCGCAGAGAUUCCAGCAUUCUCUUUAAUAUUUCCAUGGAUUUGGGGUGUUUGUUUUGGUGUAGAUAGUGAGUGGUUAUUCUGUCAACCACACCAAGCAGAAACACCUGCAGGUAGGUUUUUGUAUUAAGUAGCAAUGGUUUUUUUUUGGGGGGGAGGGUGAUUUUUCUCCAGUUGUAUAUGAAUAUUCCAUUUCACAAAAGAGAGGCUCAAUGAAUCUAACCUUCCCAGUUAAUUAGGAUACUAAUUACUAAUAAAAUAUAGAACUAAAAUACAGAACUGCAAUUGAAACUCAGGACUGUGGGUGUCACGGCCCCUUAUCUUCUAAUCUGCCACAUGGUAUGUAGGAAGAGACUGUCUCUGGGCCAACUGAUACCCUGGGACAUUGCAUGUGAGGCUUCAUGAGCAAAAGAUUGUUGCUUGGGCAAUCCUGCCCUCAGCAGGUGGACACUUGGGACACAUUAGGGAUGGAUUUCAAUGGCUUCCUGCUUUCUAUAGGAGAAAUAAUGAGCAGAAGGCUUUAGCUCCGUGCAAAAUAUCAGCUACUUCUGACAUUGCCGCUUCCCUGUCUCCCUCCCCUGGGUUUACAAUCGAUAAGGAAAGGGCAAGCAAUGGUACUCAGGGGAACUUCCAAUCAGCAACAUGCCUUAAAUCUUAGUGGUCUUGGGCAUUCAUGGCUAGAGACCGUCACAAAGAAACACUCAUUUCAAUAAGUAACUAUAAAGAAGUGUGCCUAAGGAAUACUGAGCCCAAAACACAUUUGAAAAAGGAAUUUGAAAAGGGAAAGUAAGGAAAUAAAGGGUUUUUGUUUUUUAGUAUUUUCAGGACUCUUAUAUUUGGUACUAAUAGUAAAUAAUAAAAAAAUAAUAAGUUUAUAGUUCUUGAGGGGAUAGAACAAAAGCUUUUGAGGCAGAGUGAAAUUCUAGCUGCUUUUACUAAAGGUGUUUUAGAAGUCCACGGGGAUACUGUUGAGACCAUUUUAAUUUUGGUUCUCAAAAGGCUACUCAUCUCAUCUUUCACUCAUUAGUAGAUUUCUUGAGCUGUGAAAAUGAUUUUUCUCAUUGAUCUGAUGUACAGGAAUGGCACUCUCAGAAGAACAGGGCCCAUGAGUGACACCGCAAAGCACAGGGAACUCACACCUAACAUACUCUGAUGAAUAACACUAUAAUAAGAGUGAGACAGACAUGUCUUUAAGACCCUAAUGUAGGCUGGAGAUAGUGGCUCAUGCCUGUAACUCCAGUACUUUGGAAGGCCACAGUGGGCAGAUUGCUUGAGCCCAGGAGUUUAAGAUCAGCGUGGGCAACUGGCAAGACCUUGUCUUUAUAGAAAUGUAAAAAUUAGCCCAGCAUAGUGGCAUAUGCCUCUAGUCUACAGUCCCCGCUUCUGGGGAGGUUGAGGUGGAAUGAUCCCUUGAGUCCAAAAGCUGGAGGUUGCAGUGAGAUGUGAUUGUACUACUGCACUCCAGCCUGGGCAACAGAGCAAGAUACUGUCUAAAAAACAGAAAAAAGAAUAAAGAAAUCCUAACAUAAUGAGUAGUUUUUUCUUUUAUUUUUAUAUAAAGCAUUUUAAUUGAUUUUUAUCUUCCUAUAAACUUAAUACCCUUACCUAUUGUUAUGGUUUGGCUGUGUCCCACCGAAAUUUCAUCUUGAAUCGUAACUCCCAUAUUUCCCACAUGUUGUGGGAGGGACCAAGUGGGAGGUAACUGAAUCAUGGGGCAGGUUUUUCCUGUGCUGUUCUUUUGAUAGAGAGUAAGUCUCAUAAGAUCCAAUGGUUUUAUAAAGGGCAGUUUCCCUGCACAGGCUCUCUUGCCUGUCACCAUGUAAGACAUGCCUUUGCUCUUCUUUCUCCUUCCACCAUGAUUGUGAGGCCUCCCCAGCCAUGUGGAACUGUGAGUCCAUUAAACCUCUUUCCUUUGUAAAUUACCCAGUCUCGGCUAUGUCUUUAUUAGUUGCAUGAGAAUGGACUAAUAUGCCUAUUUUGCAUUAUUUUUAAUUCUCUAGAAAUGUAAAGAAAUUAACCUUUGGCAAUCAAUACACAGUUGUAAAUAUUCAUUAUGGAAAAGAAAAAAGGGGCUGCACGUGGUAGCUCAUGCCUAUAAUUCCAGCACUUUGGGAGGCCUAGGGGGAUGAAUAACUUGAGGUCAGGAGUUCAAGACCAGCCUGGCCAACAUGGUGAAACCCCAUCUCCACUAAAAAUGCAAAAAUUAGCCAGGUGUGGUGAUGCACACCUGUAGUCCCAGCUACGUGGGAGGCUGAGGCAGGAGAAUAACUUGAACCUGGGAAGCAGAGGUUGCAGUGAGCUGAGAUUGCACCACUGCAUUCCAGCCUAGGUGUCAAAGUGAGACUCUGUCUAAAAAACUAAAACAAACAAACAAACAAAGGACAGGGAUUUGGACAUUAUAAUCAUGGCAAUCUAUAGAAAAACUAAGAUGUAUGUUGCCUUGGUCGUAUUUCAAUCACAUAAUUGCUCUGUUUAGUUUCUUAACUAACUUGAACCUUUGUUUUCUCAAUUGUGAGAUCAGGAUGACAAUACCUCUCUAACAGGAUUGUUUUGAGGAUCAAAAUUGAGAGCUUAUAUAAAAAGAGUCUUAAAUACUGCCUGGCAUAUAGAAAAUGUUAAAAUGGCCAUUUUCUUCUCCCUCUCCUACACUGAAGUACUCAUAAUUACUAUCACUGCCAGUUGGUUCUUUGGCAUAACAUUUUGAGAACAUCAGAGGCAACCAGAUGGGUAUUUUGUGAAAUUAACUGAUCAUCUCAUUUAUUUAUUCAAUAGUAUUUAAUUUUAGAUAUAAUAAAUGGAAUGAGCUAGUGUAAGACAUUUUUCCUUGCUAGGGUAAUUUCUUCCUGGAACUUAAGUCAUGCCUUUGCUCUUUGAGAGUUUUAGUCAAAGAACUCUCUUUGAGAGUCAACUAAAUCAAACUUAUGGAGCAAAAAACCAGCAACAUAAGAUUCUGUUGCUUGGGGAGUUGAUGUGGGAGGAUGGCUUGAGCCAGGAGGCUGAGGCUGCAGUGAACUGUGAUCUCACCACUGCACCCCAGCCUAGGCAACAAAGUAAGACACUGUCUCAAAAAAAAGAAAGAUUCUUUUGUCAGAUGACUGAUAUAUUUUAUUUCUAUCUCCAAUGAACAUAUAUUCAUAAACAUCAAUUGAACACAUAUAGCCUGUCUCACAUAUACAUGUGCAUAUAUAUAUAUACACACACAUAUAACAUAUUUUGCAUGUAUGAUACAAGGUGUCUAUCCCGGUGGAAAGGUUUGCAUGCUCAUCUUUGAUACCACAUUGAUAAGAGGUAGAGUGAACAUACAUCUUAGUUUUUCUCUUUCAGGUUUAAUUUAUAUCUGCUGACUUGAUGCAUUUAUGAAUAAAAUCUUCUUGUACCCUCCAGAGUGUUCCAGGACAUGAUAAGAAGUGUGUGGAUGAUAUGGGUCAUCCUAGUAACAGGUAUCUCCUCUCAGAAACAGGGGCUUUGUGGCUCCUUCUGAAAGAUCCUGGGAAGCAGUUGCCUUGGUCGUUUCUUGCUCAGGGUCUGGGAUUCCAUUGUGAAGGCCUCUGGAGCAGCAACAGCUGGGCAAUCCAAGGGGUUGCUAUGAUGAAUGGAAACACAGGGCAGCCAAGACUAGAGGGCUCAGAUAAUGGAUGUCCAGCUUUCCAGGAUGCACUAAUGUUAACAAUUCCAUUGCCAACUAGUUAAAGAUCAGCCUUAUAAAAAAUGACUUCCCACUUCCAGCCUUUAAUGAACAUAAAACUGUGCAAAGAUAGAUGAGAUGAUGCUUUGAGUAAUCCUUAAUGAAACUGAUUUGAGAAAUAAAACCAUUCGUUUUUCCCAUUCAACUGGCUCUUGUUAUGUGAAAUUGCUGUGUAAUCAUUUUAAACCAGAACGGACUGGAGAGACUGAGGAACAGAAACUUCUUGAGUGUUAUGUUUCUGUCAUCUACAGCUGCUCAUCAACAAGAAAGAGGCAGAUGUUGCAACGAGCGCUUUCUCAUGACAAUACUGAGCAUUCAUGCAUAACUUGAGAAAAAUCUUUCCAUGGGUUUGUAAGCACUUGUGCAAUGAAUUUGGCUCAGUGAUUCACCUUGAUUAAAAAAGUCAGGAGGCAAGGCUUUGGCAGAAGCCUGUUGUUACCCUGAGUAAGUUAACUCUGGAGCUCAGCUCAUUUCCAGCUCUUUACCGUUCAGAUUCUUGGUGGUCCUAAUGCCUGGCACCUAUCCUGUUGAAUUUGCCAGUUUGACAAUUCAAUCGGUUACUAACACAGCCUAAAUAACAGAAGAUUUUUUAUUAAGAAAGUGUGGUCUGCUGGAGAAAACCCUGGAUAAGGAGUCUGGCAACAUUAUUUUCUAGUUCUCUUUGUGACUUGGAAAAUUCACUUCACUUCCUUAUGCCCCACUUUGAUCACCUAGAAACAAGACUCACGCGGCUCACAGAAGUGCUGUGAUCCAGGACACCAGCAGUUUCUUCCGCAUACCCUGUUCCUCGCUGCAAGCCUGACCAUACUCCUGGCCUCUUGUCCCUGCACCACACUUUAUACAAAAGUCAGUAGCAUUUUGAGAGGCAGCACAGGUGCCAGUUUUGCCAUAGGAAAAUUCCUGUUUUUCUCCCAGGUUCUUUGAAGAAAUUGGUUUGUCUCCUCCAAGCUUGUUAAUACUUUAUCUCUACACUUUCAUGACAACAUCCAUGCCACUGUUUCUACAUCUCAUUAUUGUUCUCAAGAGCAUACUAGCUGUGGGCUGGCUCCACUGGGCCUUCACUUACCUGGCUGCCAGAGGAAGAAACUUGCAAGUGUUCUUUUUCCUGUCCCUUUUGGAGCCAUGUUACAAGUGUUCUCUGUGAUUAAUUUCACUUGCACUUGGUUGUCCUUAUUUUCCUCUGGCCCUAACUUUCCUCCCAAAUCCCCAUCACAGUGCAAUUUGCCUAACUAGUCUUAGUUCCUUAGCUUUCUCUUGCAGCCUUCUGUACUUCUCCAGCUCCUUUGCUACUGACUGGUUUGUUCAGGCUUUUAAUCGUUAUCGCUAGUGCAAUUUUCUUCUAAGAGGCUUUUCCAAGCCUCCUGCUAACAAUGAUCUAUAAUGCAUCUGUAGUUAUAUUUAUUUAUAUUGUUAUUAUUUUUUGAGACAGAGUCACUCUGUCACCCAGGCUAGAGUUCAGUGGCACCGUCACAGUUCACUGUGGCCUCUAACUCCUGGACACAAGUGAUCCUCCCACCUCAGUCUCCUGAGUGGUGGAACUGCAGGCACAUGCCAUCAUGCCUGGCUUAUUUUGUUUAUUUUUAGGAGAGAGAACAUUGUGCUCUUUUGCCUAGGCUGGUCUCAAACUCCUGAACUCAAAUGAUCAUCCUCCCACCUUAGCCUCCCAAAGUACUAGGAUUAUAAGCAUGAGUUUGUCCGGCCUGCAGUGAUUUUUCUUAAAGAUCUUUCUUAAAUCUUAUCAGCUUGCCCUUGUUUAAAGUCUACCAGGGACCUUUGGUGGCUGUCUUCAGGCCUGGCUCCACAGGCAUAUCACGUGAGCACUUGCAUGGGACCUCGGUGCUUAGAAGGGCCCAUACCUGGUUUGUUGUUCUGUAGUCACUGUUUUGCACUGAGCUCUGCAGAUUAUGUAGUCAGUCCUGCAGACUGACUGGUUGUAGAAUCUGAGUCACAGAAAGAACCUUUACAACCUCACGCCACCUCCCUUCAUGUCCUAGUCACUGUUUUCUGACCCUAAGCCAUGUGCUUUCCUGUUCUUUCCCAUGUAGCUUUCCCCCUCUCAUGCCAUUUGGUCUAGUUGGUAUUGUUUAUGCAACAACAAUUUAUUCCAUGUUUCCUGUGUGUCUGAGAUUUUCACUGGGUAGUGGAAAUACAGAGAUGAGAGCAGAAACCUGAUUUCACAGAAACAAAAACUAUAAAUACCUAACUCAAUAUAAUAUGGGAAAUGCAAUAAAAGAGAAAUAACUGAUAAGCCAAUUACACAAACAUACGCAAUAUAUGGCUUCUGUUUGUUUGAUAUUUACCAAAAUAGAAUUGUAUUUUACAUAUUGCCCUGAACUGAUACCUAUCUUUUGCAAUCUUUCUACUUGCUUUUGUAGGUUUUUCUCAUAGUUUGCUUUUUAAAAAUGACACACAUUUUUAUCUGCUUCUUCCUUUUCUCAACAAUUCCUUGUGUAAAUUUCUCCUAAACCAAUGAUUAAAACAAAGUUUGGGAUUACUUUAAGAAUCUUCUUUUAAUCAUUUUGUUUGUUUCUAUCAUUAGAACAGCAAGCUUAAUGUUCAUUUUCAUACGACUACUUUUGAAAGGAACAUUAAAUAGUAGCUGUUUUCCAACUUGAGCCUUUCGUGUAUUAAAAUUAAACAUUCAGUUCUACCCUUGUUUUUAUUCUUUCCGUUAAGCAAACUAGCAUAUUAUUUGGAAAUUUUGUUAUAAAUCUUGGCUUUCCUUUACAAUUUUUUCCCCAAAACAUCUGUUGAAAGAGGAAACAUGUAAAUCAUAAGAUAAUUUCACAAAUAAUGUUCAUAUGAAAACUCUUCCAGCUCAGCCCAAUUUUAGAGCCCCAUUACAAAUAUUCUCUUUAAUUUCACUUGCAUUUGGCUUCCUUUCUCCUGUUCUUACUUCCCUCUGCCCAGGAGGAACCAGAUUUUUCCUAAUGUUUCCCUUCCUUCCUCUGUGUACCGUAGGUCACUGUAGACGCCAUGGUUCUCUCUCUCUGUUCACCUGGAUCUGCAUGCCAAAGAGCACUGCCCUCUCCUCUCCUCCUCAGCUAGGAUGGCAGUUGGCAAAUUGAACCUGACAUUUUCCUAGAGAUGUGCAGAGGAUGGCAGUCUUAAUUAAUUUAGAUUUUGGGAAUUAAAAGUGCUUGUUUUUCCCCAGUCUAAGUUAUUAAUACCUUGGGUAAAACCUGAUUUCUGUUGAAAGCCUGGGGAUGUAUCAGGGGGCAAGAUGAAUCAGACAGCAGAGUCUGUUUGAGGUUGAAAACAAAGCAGAGACUGAAAAGCCCAGAGACAUUCUGGACUCUGAUUUUCUGUUGCUCUUUCUUAUUCUCUCUGCAUGUUGAAUGCCUUUAUCCCCAUUCCAUCCUGCACCAUGUCACAGAUACACAGAUUCUAGUGGGAAACGAUUCUUUUGGAUUCUUCAGGCCUUCUCUCUAGCUUCACUCCUCAAAGCAGUUGUCUGGGAUCAUGUAGGCAAGAAAAAUACUCCAUGCAGUAUUUUCUACAAGCAAUCAGCACCUUUCUUUGUAGCACUAUCCCAAACUAUUAUUGCUGAUUUAUUUGAGGGAGUUUUUGGUUAAUGUCUGUCUCUCUACUGGGCUGCAUGCUUCUAGAAGACAGGGCCCACCAUAGAGACCAAAAUACAUACGGUCUUAGGAAAUCAGUAUUGCCUGACAGAACCUUCUGCAGCGGUGGGCAUGUUCUCUAUCUGUGCUUUCCAUUAUCAUAACCAUGGACCAAAAGUGGCUACUGAGUAUUCAAAAUAUGACCAGUGUGACCGAAGAAUAAAAUUUUCAAUUCUACUUAAUAUUAAUCCAUUUAAAUUUACAUAGCCACAUGUUACUAGUGGCUUCUGUACUGGGCAGGGCAGAGUCUUAGGUUAGUGGAUGUCUGAGGAAAUCUAAGUAAGUACCUGGGUGUGGGAUUAAAGGAGAGUCAAAGUCAUCACUGGUAAUAUGUUUGCAUUUUUCAUUCUUAACAUACACACCCACAGACACACACACACUCGCUUGCUCCACUGGCUGGGUUGAUUUCAGGAGGUGGAAGUUUGUAGCCUUCCAUAUUGGUUCUGAUGUCUUUGCUCUCACCAAGGAAAACACAAUUGCAGUUGAACAGGGUAUAGUUAUUCAUGGUCCCGUUUCACCUUUGCACAGGAUCCUGUCUUCCCCUGGGUGCAACCAGUUCGUCAUCAAUCUAAGUAUGUUGGUGUGGUCCCCUGAGUCAACAGGAAGUGGCAAAUCCUUGCUGAAUGCUUGGACAGUGCCUGGAUUUUUGCCUUAAAUUCUAAUGUCUUCCUUGCUCGGGGUGGAUGCCAAAGUUAUUGCCUAAAAGACCAAUUUCCUACAAAAAGGACUAAUGAAGUAACCUGGACUCCAGGCAGCUCGCAAGACUGGACUCAGUAUUCCAAGGGCUGUGGAUCUCACCUAUAGCCAGGAUCACAGAGGAUUUUUGGAUAUGGUCCCAGAAGAGAGAUGGG